UCUUUGAUUUUUCUCCUUCUCUAUCUUUCUUGAUCCAUUUUCUUUUUGCUGUUCUUCUUCCUUCUCUACCUCUUUCGCUAUCUCUUUUGUUAUUUCGGUAUCAUACCGAAACAAGAAUGGUGUUCGAAUCGGUUUAUGUUGAUGCAUCUCUUGGAUUGAGAUUUUAGGGUUUCAAACCGCGAAUCGGUUUACAUGCUUUCAUUGAUGUUUGAUUAGAACGAGCAAAUUCAUAUUUGUAAAAUUUUUAACUGUAUGAAUGACACUCACUGGAUUUUGUACAUUGGGUGUGAAACUUCUAUAUUGCUAACAUUGUGUUUAGGGAUAUGCGGAGCUUCUAGACGAGUUUAUGCAUGCAGUUAAGCAUAACUAUGGAAAGAAAAUUCUUCUGCAGAUUAUAUAUCUGAUUCAGGUCAUCUGUGAGUUUGGUGUUUUGUUUGAAUCAAUUGUUUUCCUGAUUUUAUGAUUCUUUUAUUUUUUUCAGUUUAAAGAUUUCGCAAAUGAUCCCAAACUGGCUCUGGCUCUAGCUCCGGCGCUGUAUCUAUCAUAGUCUACGGGGAUUACGACAAACCAGCCUUAUUAGUUAUUCAGAUUUAACGAUAAACUAAAACAACGCCGAGACUGAUGACGGGGAUGCAUGGAUGGCAAGCCGUGGUCUUUAGGAUAUCAGGCCACAAAGCUUACUUCUCUGACUGUGGAUUCUAUGGUGCGCUGGAUACACUUAAUCUGUAUUUUCAGGGCGAAAUUUGCUGAAUGGAAGGAAGAAUGUCGUCAAUAAUUUCCGCUCGUGGGAAGUGGUAGAUUUAUCACAUCACCUGUAGGUACUAACGAUGGCCAACCGAUUCAAGAUCCAAUUGUAUCGAGCGUCUGCUACGCAAAUUAGUAAACUCUAAUCUAUAUAUGUGAUUUAUUUCAUUAUUAAUCUCUUUUUAAUUCAAAGAAAUGAAUACUAAUGGCACCACUAAUAUGAAUCGAGAGGAUAACAACAUCGGAUGAUGAGAUUGUUCAAACCGAUGCCUUCAACAAAUACUUCAACCUGAUACCGCACGAAUCACAGAGCCAUUUCUGACGACAAAAGAUAAGUUUAUCACAUAUCUAUUUUUCAGAUUAGUCAUAAUUUGGCUUGGGGAACAAAGACACAAGACCAGGGGAGAAAUUGAUUGUGACAGGUUGGGUUCAGAAGUUGAAGUUGGUUCUCAUGUACCUCCAAAUUCAAUGUUGAUACUGAUAUCCAGUCUGUCGUGAUUGCGAUAGAAAGAAUUUGACAUCCUGAUUUGCAUUUUAUAACCGGUAAUUAACAGUGGACGUAAAAUUUUAUGUAAACAUUUUAUUCACAUUACCAUGGCUUUGUCUCUUAUGA